AUGCCUGCCCAGUGACUAUAAGUUUAACGGCCGUGGUAUUUUAACCACGCGAAGGUAGCGUAAUCACUUGUUUUCUAAAUAAAGACUUGUAUGAAUGGCUUCACGAGGACCCUACUGUCUCCUUUGUCCAAUCAGUGAAACUGAUCUCCUCGUGCAGAAGCGAGGAUAAAACCAUAAGACGAGAAGACCCUAUGGAGCUUUAAACUUAUUUCAACUAUUUCAUCUUAUCCCCUCUAAUUGAAUUAACAUCUAAAUGAAUUUGCUUGAUCAAAGUUUUAGGUUGGGACGACCAUGGAGAAAAAAAUAUCCUCCCUGAUGAUUUUUAACUAAGAGCCUCAACUCUAAGUAAUAAGAUACUUAACUGCUAUUGACCCAUUUUGUGAUCAACGAACCAAGUUACCCUAGGGAUAACAGCGCAAUCCAUUUCAAGAGUCCUUAUCGACAAAUGGGUUUACGACCUCGAUGUUGGAUCAGGGCACCCAAGUGGUGCAACCGCUACUAAAGGUUCGUUUGUUCAACGAUUAAAGCCCUACGUGA
rnacentral:rRNA from 1 species